rnacentral:rRNA from 1 species
UACGGGGGGGGCAAGCGUUGUUCGGAAUUACUGGGCGUAAAGGGCUCGUAGGCGGCCAACUAAGUCAGACGUGAAAUCCCUCGGCUUAACCGGGGAACUGCAUCUGAUACUGGAUGGCUUGAGUUCGGGAGAGGGAUGCGGAAUUCCAGGUGUAGCGGUGAAAUGCGUAGAUAUCUGGAGGAACACCGGUGGCGAAGGCAGGUCUCUGGGCUAGAACUGACGCUCAUGCACGAAAGCGUGGGGAGCGAACAGG